rnacentral:rRNA from 1 species
UACAGAGACUGCGAGCGUUAUUCGGAUUCACUGGGCGUAAAGGGCAGGUAGGUGGUCUCAUUUGUCUGGGGUGAAAGCCUUGGGCUUAACCCAAGAAGUGCCUCGGAAACGGUGAGACUUGAGUACUGGAGAGGGUCGUGGAAUUCCCGGUGUAGCGGUGAAAUGCGUAGAGAUCGGGAGGAACACCGGUGGCGAAGGCGGCAUUCUGGACCGGCAUUGACGCUGAGGCGCGAAAGCCAGGGGAGCAAACGGG